UUAGGGUUUAGUAUUUGGAAGGUGGGGGUUGAGGUUUGGGUUUAGUGACCGUAUUGUAUUAUGUAUGUUCCAUUUGACGAUUAAUAAAGAAUGUUCUAUUUUGCUCACCAAUUUGUACUAUACUAUGUAUUUUGUUCAAUUCUAUUUGGGUUUAGAGUCUAUACUUGGGUUUAAGGUUUAGUGAUUAGGAUUUAGAGUUUAGUAUUUGGAAGGUGGGAGUUUAGGUUUGGGUUUAGCGAUAGGAUUUAGGGUUUAGUAUUUGGAAGGUGGGUUUGGGUUUAGCAUUGAGGAGUUGCGUGUUGGAUUGGAGUCCUAUACUAUUCAAAAAUUAGGUUUGGAUUUAGUUUAAUAUUACAUAAUAUUAUAUAUUAUUUUCAGAUUUUGAUAAUUGGGUUUAAGGUUUAUAUUUGGGUUUAAGGUUCAGUAAUGAGGGUUUAGGGUUUAGUAUUUAGAUGGAAGGUUGAUGUUUAAAGUUUAGGGUUUAGUAUCUAGGAAUUGAGGUUUUGAAUAAAGUUUAGUAUUUACUAGAUCUGAGUUGAUUUUAAAUCCUAUUAUAUUUCAGUGAUAUGGUAUAGAAAAAUCAGAUGCAUAUUUAUGUGUUAAACAAAAGUGUGGUGUUGGUUAUAUUACGUGUGAUAAUUAAUUAUGGAGUGUCAAAUUGUUGAUGUCAACAAUUUUCUCUC
rnacentral:lncRNA from 1 species